UGGGCAACCUGCCCCAGACUCUGGGAUAACUCCGGGAAACCGGGGCUAAUACCGGAUACUCUCGGUCGGCCGCAUGAUCGGCCGAGGAAAGCUCCGACGGUCUGGGAUGGGCCCGCGGCCUAUCAGCUUGUUGGUGAGGUAACGGCUCACCAAGGCGACGACGGGUAGCUGGUCUGAGAGGACGGCCAGCCACACUGGGACUGGGAUACGGCCCAGACUCCUACGGGA
rnacentral:rRNA from 1 species